AGAAGAGGAGGGUUCUUCCGGAUGCCUUGUGGCAGGUUCCGCUAAGUAGCAAGCUGGCUUUAACGUUUUUCUGUGAUGUGCUCUCUGUCUUGCCACUUGAUGCUGUGAAGUGCGCUCAGGCAAGCUCCGAAGUUGAGACAUGGAUGCAGUAACCUAUGAUGAUGUGCAUGUGAAUUUCACUCAAGAAGAAUGGGCUUUGCUGGAUCCUUCACAGAAGAGUCUCUACAAAGAGGUGAUGCUGGAGACCUACAAGAACCUCACUGCUAUAGGCUACAACUGGGAAGAUCAUAAUAUUGAAGAACAUUGUCAAAGUUCCAGAAGACAUGGAAGGUAAUUUUCAUGUGCAAGUUGGUAUGGAUAUGCCUCUGAAGGAAUGUUAAUGUGUCCUUAAAUUUUUAAAGAAAAGCAACAAUAUAAAAAAAAAAACACUUCUUUAAGUGUAUGGCUUAUUAAAUUCUCACAAAUCCAUGUACCUCAA
rnacentral:lncRNA from 1 species